CUAGAAGAGAAGAAGAAGAAGAUCUCCAGAAGAAACUCCUUUGGAGUUUCCUGAGACUGGGAUAAGGCUUCCUUGCGGAGCCAGAUGCUCCUGUCAAGACCAACUGCAUACUAGGCUACUCUACUACAAGCAUGGAUGGCAGGCCAAGAAAAAUGAUUUAUUUUCCCCAUGAAUUUUACACUCAUAAAGCAGUGUUUUAAGUAUAGGCAGCUCUGUACCCUUUCAUUGAAGGAGAGAUGUCGACAACCUGAAGGAGGGGACCAUCGAAUGGUCUGAGGGCUGGAGCGUAUAACUUGCAAAGAAAGGUUGGCACAGCUGAAUCUUUUCAGGAUGAAGAAAAGAAGGCCAAUGGGGGACAUAAAUGAUGCCUACUCAGCCUCCUGUGUGCUUGUAGAGAUUUUUCUCAGAGAUGCACACUGAUGGGACUAGGGACACCAGCUGUUGGAAAUCCACCUGGAUUUAAAAUAAAAUUUCUUUGUGUUGAGAGAGGUUAUAAACUGGAACAAUUUGCCUGAGAAGACUGGGAACUCCUUCAAAAGAGUAGGAGAGAGUUCUGAGCAGCCUGAUCCAGCUGUGAAAGGAGCCCUGCUCCUGCGGAUGAUGAUCUAGCUUUGCUCAGAAGACUGGGAGCAGUGGGGAUCAGAGCCUGGCCCAGGUACAAACAACGACUUAAUGAAUGAUAUGCAAAUUCUUUAAUCAGGCUUCAAGAGCACCCACAAAAGGUACGUACAUGUAUCAUC